AGAGUUUGAUCCUGGCUCAGGACGAACGCUGGCGGCGUGCCUAACACAUGCAAGUCGAACGGAGUUAAGCUCUUCGGAACUUGACUUAGUGGCGAACGGGUGAGUAACGCGUGAGGAACCUGCCUUUCAGUGGGGGACAACAGUUGGAAACGACUGCUAAUACCGCAUGACACUUUUGAGGGACAUCCCUUAAAAGUCAAAGCUUUAUGUGCUGAAAGAUGGCCUCGCGUCUGAUUAGCUAGUUGGUGAGGUAACGGCUCACCAAGGCGACGAUCAGUAGCCGGUCUGAGAGGAUGAACGGCCACAUUGGGACUGAGAUACGGCCCAGACUCCUACGGGAGGCAGCAGUGGGGAAUAUUGGGCAAUGGGCGCAAGCCUGACCCAGCAACGCCGCGUGAAGGAAGAAGGCUUUCGGGUUGUAAACUUCUUUUACCAGGGACGAAGGACGUGACGGUACCUGGAGAAAAAGCAACGGCUAACUACGUGCCAGCAGCCGCGGUAAUACGUAGGUUGCAAGCGUUGUCCGGAUUUACUGGGUGUAAAGGGCGUGUAGGCGGAGAUGCAAGUUGGGAGUGAAAUCCAUGGGCUCAACCCAUGAACUGCUCUCAAAACUGUAUCCCUUGAGUAUCGGAGAGGCAAGCGGAAUUCCUAGUGUAGCGGUGAAAUGCGUAGAUAUUAGGAGGAACACCAGUGGCGAAGGCGGCUUGCUGGACGACAACUGACGCUGAGGCGCGAAAGCGUGGGGAGCAAACAGGAUUAGAUACCCUGGUAGUCCACGCUGUAAACGAUGAAUACUAGGUGUGGGGGGACUGACCCCUUCCGUGCCGCAGUUAACACAAUAAGUAUUCCACCUGGGGAGUACGACCGCAAGGUUGAAACUCAAAGGAAUUGACGGGGGCCCGCAC
rnacentral:rRNA from 1 species